rnacentral:lncRNA from 1 species
AACCACAUACCAAACAAAUGACAUAAAAAUUGUAGACUAAUUUACAUAAAAACUAUACACAUAUACAAAAGACUAUACCUUUGCCAUCUCCAGAUUACAGCAGGAUGAUUUGUGAUAAAGAUAUAUAUUCAUCAAUAAUUUCCAUGGCUUUGAGUAAUUCUUUAUAGUGUUUUGAAGUCAUUGUAUGCCGAAUUCUCCAUCUUUUUCCUUCAAAGCUUUUAUCUUCCUCUCUUUAUUCUCCAAAGUCCGGCUCAGGUUCAUGCUUCGGUUCUUGUUUCUUCUCUACCUCAUGCUCCUUCCUUGGAGGCACAACCAUCUUAUCCUCCUGAUCCACC